GUUAAUUUUUUAUUAUCUCUACGAAUUGUUUUACCCGUCCUACCCCCCAAAUUAUUGUAGCAUCAACCGAAAAUGUGGGCAAUGUAAGCAAUGUUAAAUCUAAUUUUUCUGUGCAAAACCUAAUUAGCCAUUUUAAAAAAGGUUAACGCCAGCGCCUCAGACGGUUUUUGUUUAAUAAUCCUAUUACUGAUGGCUCAUCAUGUAUAAAAUGGUGCAGUUGGAUGCAAAAUUUCCACUUGUUUAUAAGUAUCGGGGAGAAAUGUAUAAAAUAAUCUACAGCGCAGGAGGCAGGUCAGUGCGGCAGGGAUUGCACUCGCCUUGAACGAACAAUGCCAACAUUGAAGCCCUCGGUUGGAGUCUGCACAGUUGGAGAUCUUUGGUGCCAUUUUAGACAUCUUUGGAUUUCAUCAAUCAAACUGACUGCAAUUUUCCAUAAAAACCCUGAAUUUGGGUCAGAAAGUGGGCAAAGCAGAUAAAGAUCAUUCGAGCUGUCUUAUGAGAUGAUAAAUAGAUACCCUUUCAGUCCAACAAUGCAAGAAGUGCAGUUUUGUAAUUCACUUCCAUUGGUUUUGAAUGCAGUGAGUCGAAACAAUUUAUACAUGUUUUCCCAUGGUUUAGAAGAUGUCUUUACAUACUUGUCAAUAGUAACUUGACCUUUUUCCCCACUGAGUUACCAAGUGGUUUUUUUUCUUCCACAGUACAGAAAAGGAUUUUUUUUUCUGUUAGCGACUAAAUCAAUAGAUUAUUUCUUCUUGUCCUAAGCAACAGCAGAUUGUAGAUAGCUCGUAGCAAGCCGCACUCCGCUGUGCUGUUUUGCCAUGUGCUGCUUUAGAGACAGGUGGUCCGAGCUGGGUUUUAAACAAACCUGUUGGACUUGCUUCGAGCAUAUUCUUGAACUUGACGAAUAGCCUAAAGGUGAAGGAAGACAAGUCCUACCAGAAACCAAAUCCCAGAAAGAAACCCGGCAGACUGCCUCAUGACCUCAAAGACCGCUUGAAAUCUUAACUGAAAGGAUGUGGGUGAAAAAAGCAGGGUUACAGUUCUUUCUUUUUCUUUUCACAGUAAAACAAGUCAUUCUGAUCCUGGCUGAUACACUGUCUGCCACACGCUCACUGUUGUGUUUGACCCAGGCUCUCGUGACUUUCCCUCCCCAAACUGCCCGACUGUGUCAGCUUGUUUUCGUUCAUUGCGUUUAGACGGAUUCAUAAUUUAAGCUUUCCUGGGCGGCUGAAGGGUCGGAGUCCUACAUGACAAUGUGCUCUCUUUGCGACGGUCCAGUGGGUGGGCUGGUACAUACAGACACACGUGCUCAUUUCCUGUUAUCACACAGUCCCGAGCUGUGCAUGGGUGUGUGUAAACCCCAUUAGUAAUUAAAGCAAGGAUAACGUCACUCUGGAGAACUGUUGUUCUUAGGUGAUGCACAAGGGGGGUAAAUACUCUUAUUCUGCGCAGCUGGGGAAACUGAAGCACAGAGAUGCUAAGUAAUGCCCCCAAGGUUAGGGAAGGAGUCAGUGGCAGAGCGGGGAAUGGAGCCCAAGUCUCUUGACCCACGUCCCCUGCAACGGAGCAGGCUGUAUAAACCCCACACCUCAAAUGCUGUCCCAGGAAGACUCGGGAGUGCUCCUCACACCCUCCUGGUCUUCCUGCUUAACUAACUAGGGAUGUAGGCAUCAUUCCUUCCUCUUCGCUUGGCUUGAAGGGGAGCGGAAGGAGGGAUGUGAUGAGCUUUUUUCACCCUUAACCCCUUUCAUUCUGCAAUUUACUGUAAACAGAGCUUGCUCACAAACAGGCAGCAGCGCGACACACCUUCAAGCAAAGUUCUGUGUCCUCCAGAAGGGCCUAUUCCAGCGAGCAAGACCCCUGAUUAAACUAACUGGAGUUCUGUAGAGUGAGGACUGGGGUAUUUCACCAGGAGCUGGAAAACACAUAUUCCUGUCCCUGGCCGGACAGGAUGUGCAAGACAGGGGCCUCUGCUCAGAGUUUAUUCCGGGCCGACCUCAGAGUGCAGGGGAUUAACCAGGAGCUGCAGGGGACAACGCACCAACGCCCCCUUCUCCACGCAGCACUGUGUGAAGUUUGCCGAGAGGCUGAACAAGCCGGCCAGGCACCACGGUCCGUCCCCUGGCCGUCAGGGGCUUCAUAGAUCGGUCCCUUAGGUCUUAAAGAGAGUAAUUAGUAAUAAGCAAAUCCUGUUGUUUCUAAUUGUUCUCACCCCUAAAGGGAAUACUUUCGAGGAGUUUGAUUCAGCUCUCCCUAAAGAUGACAACACUGAGCCUCUUCCCACAUUGACAACAGUUUACCCGCCUUUUGAGCAAGUGGCGAAUUAAAAUAUUUUAUUACCAAAUGUUUCCUUUCGCGCAUGAUGUCGGAACAACAGCGCAGUCUGGAGAAGCCCCUCUGCUAUUCGUGCCGAGGCCGACCCUGCAGCACAGACUUCAUCCCCUCCUUCCCUCCCCCGCAUUAAACUCGACGGGAGUUUGCAGCGCGAGGCUGGAGCGGGCCGGGCCGGGCCGGGCACACGCGCGACACCGAGCUGCCCUGACUGCAGUGACGCUCCCUAACUGUGCGACCCAGCCCAGCGCAGGCGAGAUCCUUCAUUUGUGCGGGACCCUCAUUUCGUCUAAACCCAACGGGAAUUUUGGCGUUGUCUUAAAAGUCUUGAUUAGGAGCGGCUGCUUCCUGUUUAUUUCUGCUUUACAGUUCUUAGAAGUGCUCGUCCGAGCCCUCCUACCUGCGGGAGAGAGCACCCAAAUGUGGCAGCGCUGGCACAGUAUUUCUGCUCCUUUCCUCGCCUCUCUCCCCCUCCCCCUGCCUUUGCUACAGGAAGAUUUAUGGAGCCCAAACAAUGUGAAGAGCCUGCUCGUGGAGUCUUUACCCAGGCAGCUGAAGACAACGGGAGCCCUGCCUGAAUAAAGACCGCAGGACUGCUCUGAGCUCUGGUUUUCUUGAGGAACCGGAACGCAAGGACUUCGCGUUAUUUUGGCCUUACAUGAGGCUGCCAGAGGCAUCGGAAAGGCCGGCGAACGAUGUAACAAGCCUAAAUGGUUGGAAACAAUUACUUCACGCCACUCAGUGACUUAUCCUGUAACAAGUGUCAGUCCCUUCGCGGACUGAAACGAGAACAAAGAUCCUGGGUCGUAAAAAAAUACUCUAGUUUCCAAAAUUAAACAGAGCCUAAGAGAAGAGAGACCCCUGGAGAUACUUCUCAAAAGCCGGCGUGGAUCCUGAGAGCGAUGCUUGUAUCUGGCCUGAGCUCCCAAAUCCGAGAUCAUUUGCAAAACCAGGGGCCAGAAGACAGCUUUCAGAAGGCGGCCAACUUGUGUGCAGCCCUGGGGAGGGGGGAGGGGACUAGUCUCUUCUCAGGCAAUAACGCUUUGAAAAAUA